UGUUGGGUGAACGUGCGGAAGGAUCAUUU
rnacentral:rRNA from 1 species